rnacentral:rRNA from 1 species
UCUGGAAACUNUCUGACUUGAGUGCAGAAGGGGAGAGUGGAAUUCCAUGUGUAGCGGUGAAAUGCGUAGAUAUAUGGAGGAACACCAGUGGCGAAAGCGGCUCUCUGGUCUGUCACUGACGCUGAGGCUCGAAAGCGUGGGUAGCGAACAGGAUUAGAUACCCUGGUAGUCCACGCCGUAAACGAUGAGUGCUAGGUGUUAGGCCCUUUCCGGGGCUUAGUGCCGGAGCUAACGCAAUAAGCACUCCGCCUGGGGAGUACGACCGCAAGGUUGAAACUCAAAGGAAUUGACGGGGGCCCGCACAAGCGGUGGAGCAUGUGGUUUAAUUCGAAGCAACGCGAAGAACCUUGCCAGGUCUUGACAUCCCGAUGCUAUUCUUAGAGAUAGGAAGUUACUUCGGUACAUCGGAGACAGGUGGUGCAUGGUUGUCGUCAGCUCGUGUCGUGAGAUGUUGGGUUAAGUCCCGCAACGAGCGCAACCCUUAUUGUUAGUUGCCAUCAUUAAGUUGGGCACUCUAGCGAGACUGCCGGUAAUAAACCGGAGGAAGGUGGGGAUGACGUCAAAUCAUCAUGCCCCUUAUGACCUGGGCUACACACGUGCUACAAUGGUCGGUACAACGAGUUGCGAGCCGGUGACGGCAAGCUAAUCUCUGAAAGCCGAUCUCAGUUCGGAUUGGAGGCUGCAACUCGCCUCCAUGAAGUCGGAAUCGCUAGUAAUCGCGGAUCAGCACGCCGCGGUGAAUACGUUCCCGGGCCUUGUACACACCGCCCGUCACACCACGAGAGUUUGUAACACCCGAAGUCGGUGAGGUANCCUUUUAGGG